rnacentral:lncRNA from 1 species
GGUGUGCUACUCUUCUCAAUCUCGGGUGUCUCAUACUCUCAUUCAUCUGAACCUCUUGGGAUGCAAUCUCAUUAACUUCCAAUCUUCUGAACCUCCAAAGAGGCAACAUUUUCAACCUCCGGAGAGGUAAUCUUUCAAACCUCCAGAAAGGCAAUUCUCUCAACCUCAGGAGAGGGCAACAUUUUCAUCCUCCAGAGGCAACCUUCUCAAGCUCCCCAACUGCAACCAAACCGGACUCCAGUAUCUUGUACGCACGUAAUGUAAAUGAAUUUAAAGAUAACAUUAUAGUAUUAUACGAAAACAAAAUAUCUAUUAAGUGAAAAUGAAUUUACCAUUUCAUGACGAACCUCGAUGACCUACUUCUUUUUCUUCAAUUUCUGUUCUACAUUAGAAGAUCGUUGAAUACUUUUCUUCUCCGAUUUCAUCUUCUUCUUCUUCUCGCUAUUUUCCAGAGAACAUCCUCAAUUCCCUUGUUCUUGAACUCAUAUUGACUAACUUCCCGCGACAAUGCAAACUUCAAAAUAAUUUGAGACUUUUUUAAUCAAAAUGUUAAAAAAUAAUGCUUCUCAAAUAUGUCAACUUCAUCUUACCCUUUCUCGACCUCGUUCUUUUCCUUCAAUUCAUCUUGUGGAACAAAAGAGCGUCGAACAACCUUCUUCUUCUUCUUCUUCUUCUCAAUCGUAACAAAUGGUUCUUCAAUCAACACACUUUCCGUCUGAACCACAUCAGUUUAUUCUUUAUUAACCACAUCAACUACUUCUCUUUGAACCUCACCACCAACAACUUUCUAAACCUGGACCUCUGUGUCUUUCUGAACCUCAACAACUUGUUUACUACCAACUUCAUCUACCCUCACCAUGUGUUCUCGCAAAUCAGUCCUAUCGGACGGUCUACCCUCACCAUGUGUACUCUAUUUUUAUAAUAUUCAUUUAUUUUAUUAAAAUUAUAUUAAUUUAUAGAAAAGUCAUACCUCUAACUCUAUGAUUAAAUUUAUAGAAAAAUCCACCGACCUACUCACCCCCAUGUGCGUCUGCCGCAAUUAAGCGCCUA